UGCCUGAAUUCGCAGCCCCCACCCGUGGGAUCAUCGCCCCCCCCCCGUUGCGCCGGAUUUCCCAUUGCCAACCCCUGGGAUGCUGCGAGGAAGAGGAAGAUGCCCCGGGACACUGAGGCAGAGCAGGAGCUGAGCAUGGAGAGCAGGGAGGACAAAUGCCCACGGCAGAACCUGGUGGAAGAGGCCGUUUUGAGCGGCUCCACGGCGCAGGAAGCCAACGGGGAGGAAAAGCCCCGGAGAUGCCGCACGAGGAGGGGCUGCAAACGCAGC